rnacentral:rRNA from 1 species
UGGGGAAUAUUGGACAAUGGGCGAAAGCCUGAUCCAGCAAUGCCGCGUGUGUGAAGAAGGUCUUCGGAUUGUAAAGCACUUUCGACGGGGACGAUGAUGACGGUACCCGUAGAAGAAGCCCCGGCUAACUUCGUGCCAGCAGCCGCGGUAAUACGAAGGGGGCUAGCGUUGCUCGGAAUGACUGGGCGUAAAGGGCGCGUAGGCGGCGUACACAGUCAGAAGUGAAAUUCCUGGGCUCAACCUGGGGACUGCUUUUGAUACGUGUGAGCUAGAGUGAGGAAGAGGGUUGUGGAAUUUCCAGUGUAGAGGUGAAAUUCGUAGAUAUUGGAAAGAACACCGGUGGCGAAGGCGGCAACCUGGUCCUUUACUGACGCUGAGGCGCGAAAGCGUGGGGAGCAAACAGGAUUAGAUACCCCCGUAGUCC